rnacentral:rRNA from 1 species
AUUGAACGCUGGCGGCAGGCCUAACACAUGCAAGUCGAGCGGAUGAAGGGAGCUUGCUCCUGGAUUCAGCGGCGGACGGGUGAGUAAUGCCUAGGAAUCUGCCUGUUAGUGGGGGAUAACGUCCGGAAACGGGCGCUAAUACCGCAUACGUCCUGAGGGAGAAAGUGGGGGAUCUUCGGACCCCACGCUAUCAGAUGAGCCUAGGUCGGAUUAGCUAGUUGGUGGGGUAAAGGCCUACCAAGGCGACGAUCCGUAACUGGUCUGAGAGGAUGAUCAGUCACACUGUAACUGAGACACGGUCCCGACUCCUACGGGAGGCAGCAGUGGGGAAUAUUGGACAAUGGGCGAAAGCCUGAUCCAGCCAUGCCGCGUGUGUGAAGAAGGUCUUCGGAUUGUAAAGCACUUUAAGUUGGGAGGAAGGGCAGUAAGUUAAUACCUUGCUGUUUUGACGUUACCAACAGAAUAAGCACCGGCUAACUUCGUG